rnacentral:rRNA from 1 species
UCGAGGAUCUUCGGCAAUGGGCGCAAGCCUGACCGAGCGACGCCGCGUGGGCGAUGAAGGCCUUCGGGUUGUAAAGCCCUUUAGUGGGAGAGGAAAGCGCAAGCUUGACCGACCCCAAGAAUAAGCACGGGCUAAGUUCGUGCCAGCAGCCGCGGUAAGACGAACCGUGCGAACGUUGUUCGGAAUCACUGGGCUUAAAGGGCGCGUAGGCGGCUUGCCAAGUCCGGGGUGAAAUCCUCCAGCUUAACUGGAGAAGUGCCUUGGAAACUGGCGAGCUCGAGGGAGGCAGGGGUCGUGGGAACUUCCGGUGGAGCGGUGAAAUGCGUUGAUAUCGGAAGGAACGCCGGUGGCGAAAGCGCACGACUGGUCCUCUUCUGACGCUGAGGCGCGAAAGCCAGGGGAGCAAACGGGAUUAGAUACCCGCGUAGUCC